GAUGAACGCUGGCGGCGUGCCUAAUACAUGCAAGUCGAGCGAACAGACGAGGAGCUUGCUCCUCUGACGAUAGCGGCGGACGUGUGAGUAACACGUGGAUAACCUACCUAUAAGACUGGGAUAACUUCGGGAAACCGGAGCUAAUACCGGAUAAUAUAUUGAACCGCAUGGUUCAAUAGUGAAAGACGGUUUUGCUGUCACUUAUAGAUGGAUCCUCGCCGCAUUAGCUAGUUGGUAAGGUAACGGUUUACCAAGGCAACGAUGCGUAGCCGCCCUGAGAGGGUGAGCGCCCAAACUGGAACUGGGAAACGGUCCAGACUCCUACGGGAGGCAGCAGUAGGGAAUCUUCCGCAAUGGGCGAAAGCCUGACGGAGCAACGCCGCGUGAGUGAUGAAGGUCUUCGGAUCGUAAAACUCUGUUAUUAGGGAAGAACAAAUGUGUAAGUAACUAUGCACGUCUUGACGGUACCUAAUCAGAAAGCCACGGCUAACUACGUG
rnacentral:rRNA from 1 species